GGGCGUAAAGAGCUCGUAGGUGGUUCGUUACGUCGGAUGUGAAAAUCUGGGGCUCAACCCCAGACCUGCAUUCGAUACGGGCGAUCUAGAGUGUGGUAGGGGAGACUGGAAUUCCUGGUGUAGCGGUGGAAUGCGCAGAUAUCAGGAGGAACACCAAUGGCGAAGGCAGGUCUCUGGGCCAUUACUGACACUGAGGAGCGAAAGCGUGGGGAGCGAACAGGAUUAGAUACCCUGGUAGUCCACGCCGUAAACGGUGGGCACUAGUUGUGGGAACCUUCCACGGUUUCUGCGACGCAGCUAACGCAUUAAGUGCCCCGCCUGGGGAGUACGAUCGCAAGAUUAAAACUCAAAGGAAUUGACGGGGCCCCGCACAAGCAGCGGAGCAUGCGGCUUAAUUCGACGCAACGCGAAGAACCUUACCAAGGCUUGACAUAUACCGGAAUAUGGCAGAGAUGUCAUAGCUGUAAAAGGUCGGUAUACAGGUGGUGCAUGGUUGUCGUCAGCUCGUGUCGUGAGAUGUUGGGUUAAGUCCCGCAACGAGCGCAACCCUCGUUCUGUGUUGCCAGCAUUUAGUUGGGGACUCACAGGAAACUGCCGGGGUCAACUCGGAGGAAGGUAAU
rnacentral:rRNA from 1 species